GGUUUCGAGAUUGUUACUGAUAUUGUUUUUCUCCUUCACUUUCUUAUCUUCAUCGUCAAAGUAUUCUGCUUACCAGAAGAAGUUCUCUAUCCCAAAACGUGGAGAAGCGUGGAUCUUAAAGUCACUAGGAAAGAAAUGAAAAGAUUACAAAUGCGAUUUAAAAGAUGAGUAUACGCGAAAAUAUAAAACUAAAGACUUUGCUAAAAAAUAGACCAAAUCGUAUACCGAGGGAUUAAUGGAGUGGUCUUGUCUCUUAUUGGCUUUCUGAUAAAGAUAAGUUCAAUGAUAGAGACGUACCCAAGCAAAUACAAACAAUAGGGCCAAGCAAACGAGGCCA